rnacentral:rRNA from 1 species
AGGUGCGAUCAUACCAGCACUAAUGCACCGGAUCCCAUCAGAACUCCGCAGCUAAGCGUGCUUGGGCGAGAGUAGUACUAGGAUGGGUGACCUCCUGGGAAGUCCUCGAGUUGCACCUCUUU